rnacentral:rRNA from 1 species
GACCCCAGUUUAGGCG